UACCAGCUCUCCGAGUGGUGUGGAUGUUUAUUGGGCCUAAAGCAUCCGUAGCUGGCUGGGCAAGUCCCCUGUUAAAUCCACCGAUUUAAUCGUUGGUGUGCGGGGGAUACUGUUCGGCUAGGGGACGGGAGAGGCCGACGGUAUUUUCGGGGUAGGGGUGAAAUCCUAUAAUCCCGGGAAGACCACCAGUGGCGAAGCCUGUCGGCUAGAACGCGCCCGACGGUGAGGGAUGAAAGCUGGGGGAGCGAACCGGAUUAGAUACCCGGGUAGUCCCAGCUGUAAACGAUGCAGGCUAGGUGUUUGGGCGGCCACGUGCCGCUCUAGUGCCGCAGAGAAGUCGUUAAGCCUGCCGCCUGGGGAGUACGGCCGCAAGGCUGAGACUUAAAGGAAUUGGCGGAGGAGCACCACAAGGGGUGAAGCUUGCGGUUU
rnacentral:rRNA from 1 species